rnacentral:rRNA from 1 species
GCGAAUGGCUCAUUUAAUCAGUUUUAGUUUUUUUGAUGGUACCUACUACUCGGAUAACCGUAGUAAUUCUAGAGCUAAUACGUGCGCAAAUCCCGACUUCUGAAAGGGACGUAUUUUUUUGAUUUAAGGCCGACCGAGCUUUGCUCGUCUUGCGGUGAAUCAUGAUAACUUCACGAAUCGCAUGGCCCUCGCGCCGGCGAUAUUUCAUUCAAAUUUCUGCCCUAUCAAUUUGCGAUGGUAGGAUAGAGGC